UACGUAGGGGGCAAGCGUUGUCCGGAUUUAUUGGGCGUAAAGAGCGUGUAGGCGGCCAGGUAGGUCUGCUGUGAAAACUCGAGGCUUAACCUCGAGAUGUCGGCGGAAACCAUCUGGCUAGAGUCCGGAAGAGGAGAGCGGAAUUCCUGGUGUAGCGGUGAAAUGCGUAGAUAUCUGGAGGAACACCGGUGGCGAAGGCGAUCACCUGGGGUUGUUCUGACGCUGAGGAGCGAAAGCUAGGGGAGCAAACGGG
rnacentral:rRNA from 1 species